rnacentral:lncRNA from 1 species
ACCGGUACAAGGUCAAUACAUUACCGGUAACAAAAGCUCCAGAUUUUCAAUCUCGCAUUGUUUCAACUCUAAUUCGCGCCGAGCAAUACUAAAACCUUUCUAACCCCUUUGGAACUCAACUUUAACCCUUCCAACCUUGUUGGAAUAUUAAAUGGAGUUUGUCCAACUAUUUCUUUCAGACACUUUAGUCAAUUUGGCUAAAGUUCGCUAUACUCUACCGAGGUAUCGGUAUAUUACAUUUAUCUUAUCCGGAAGCAUGCGAGGCACUGCCCUAAGGCGUAUUC